AACGAACGCUGGCGGCAGGCUUAACACAUGCAAGUCGAACGCUCGUAGCAAUACGGGAGUGGCGGACGGGUGAGUAACGCGUGGGAACGUGCCCUGAGGUACGGAAUAACUGAGGGAAACUUCAGCUAAUACCGUAUGAGCCCCGAGAGGGGGAAAGAUUUAUCGCCUUGGGAGCGGCCCGCGUCGGAUUAGCUAGUUGGUGGGGUAACGGCCUACCAAGGCUUCGAUCCGUAGCUGGUCUGAGAGGACGAUCAGCCACACUGGGACUGAGACACGGCCCAGACUCCUACGGGAGGCAGCAGUGGGGAAUCUUGCGCAAUGGGGGCAACCCUGACGCAGCCAUGCCGCGUGAACGAUGAAGGCCUUAGGGUUGUAAAGUUCUUUUACCCGUGACGAUGAUGACGGUAACGGGGAAUAAGCUCCGGCUAACUUCGUGCCAGCAGCCGCGGUAAU
rnacentral:rRNA from 1 species